AGCUCCGGAAAGAGGCCCAAGUUCCUGAGUUGGGUGGCGGUACAAAUCGAUUUGUUUCUGUCUGAUCUCGUUUUUUUUUUUUUUCGAAAUCCCAGUUGUUUUGUAGGCGCUGUCGUAUGAAGUAGAAGAUUUUCGAAUUCCCGAGCUCCCAAUUAGUUUGAACGCGGCAUGAAUCCUCAGGCGUCGACGUCUCUUACUGUUGUCGUUUGGUCGAUGGCGCCACCGGUUGGUGGGUUUUUUUUGUGUGAGCCUGGUGGAGAGCAUCCGUGAAGGCCUAUUUUACCCACCGCAUUCCUCAUCCAUGCAAAGCAUAUCUGCUACAUGGACUAACCUACUAAUCAGCGCCAACAGCUCUGUGGACAUAGCUGCUUUCUACUUCACCCUCCGAGACACUGGCCUGGGACUCACAAAGCCUAGUGCUGCACAGGGAAAACAGGUCUUUAUUAAGCAGCUGAUGGAACUUGAAGCAAAAGGAGUGAAACUUCAGAUUGCUGUUAAUGAUUCUCAGACUGCUACAGCUGAUUUGAUCCAGAACAGGUGCAGAGGUACGGGAGGUGGAUCUCCAGUCAGUGGCGAGAGGUAUCAUCCACACCAAACUGUGGGUCGUGGAUCAGAGAAACACCUCUACCUGGGCAGUGCCAACAUGGAUCCCUCACACAGGUUCUGGCCUGCGAUUGACUCAUCCAUACGGGCAGCAGCGUGUUCUAGAGGGGUAGAGGUCAACCUACUAGUGAGCUGCUGGUCACACUCUGUUCCUCUUUCCACAGUCCCUGACUGUCCUCAACAGACCUCCCCUGGGUUGCAACAUCAAUUUGAAACUGUUUGAUUUGCCGUCAACAGCAGAGCAGAAGAAGAUCAUUAUCUCGAGCGAACAAUGCCAAGUACAUGGUGACAGACCGAGUCGUCUAUAUACAUCACAAUCACUACUCAUUGGACAAAAUGAACCUCCAACUGGUCAGAGAAUUAUUUCACCCACACUGCAGGUGUUGGGCUGGUGGUGAACCAGACUGGUACUGUGGUGGCAGAGAGAGAGCAAGAGGAGUUAACAGACUCAGCUACAGGAAGUCUUCUUUAAGGGACUGAACAUCUCAUUACCCCCAAUCCCUUUCCAAUGACAAUGUCAAACACUGUGGUAGAUGAUGCUAACGGUGAUGACCCAUUCUGUAUGUCCCAAAUCGCACCAUACUCCAUAUAUAGUACACUAUUUUUUAAACUGAGAAAAUAGUGCACUAUGUAGGGAAUAGGGUGGGUGCCAUUUGGGACAUGUUCCCAUAUUAGUCUUAGAUAAUUGUUUUGGCAUAUACUUCCACUGGUCCUCAGCAUGCUGCCUAUCACAAGCGCUUACAUUGCAUUGAUUUCUUACAAUCAACUACUCAUUUCAUAAUUAUGUUCUGUUACACAUUUGAAUUUAUUGGUGUAUACAUAUUUUCUACUUGAGUUAUUUUCUGUAACUUUUUUGCUUCUCAAUGGAAGUGUCAACAUUGAAUGAAUCUUGAAGUUCUGUUUUUGAUCAAUUACUUUUGCUUUGACUGACUGAGACUCAGUGAAUCAAGGCAUGUGUUGUCUAUAUGGGA